CACGUAGGGCGCAAGCGUUGUCCGGAAUUAUUGGGCGUAAAGAGCUCGUAGGCGGUCUGUUGCGUCUGCUGUGAAAACCCUGGGCUUAACCCCUGGCUUGCAGUGGAUACGGACAGACUAGAGGUAGGUAGGGGAGAAUGGAAUUCCCGGUGUAGCGGUGAAAUGCGCAGAUAUCGGGAGGAACACCGGUGGCGAAGGCGGUUCUCUGGGCCUUACCUGACGCUGAGGAGCGAAAGCGUGGGGAGCGAACAGG
rnacentral:rRNA from 1 species